UACGGAGGGUGCGAGCGUUGUCCGGAAUCAUUGGGCGUAAAGGGCGCGUAGGUGGCCCGGUCAGUUCGUGGUGAAAGCCCUGGGCUCAACCCAGGAAGUGCAUUCGAAACUGCAGAGCUGGAGUCCUGGAGAGGAAGGCGGAAUUCUCGGUGUAGAGGUGAAAUUCGUAGAUAUCGAGAGGAACACCGGUGGCGAAGGCGGCCUUCUGGACAGUGACUGACGCUGAGACGCGAAAGCGUGGGGAGCAAACAGG
rnacentral:rRNA from 1 species